rnacentral:misc_RNA from 1 species
AACGCACAUUGCACCUCCCGCAGGGGAGGUAUGCCUGUCUGAGCGUCAUUAAUCUCAAUAAACCCCCUUGGUGGGGUUUGUGUUGGGCCCUGCACGGAAGUGCACUGCCUUGAAUUCAUGGUCUAACCUGUGGACGAGCUCCUCUUGGACGUGCCGUUGGAUGGCCCUUUCUUUGAAUUUGACCUCAGAUCAGGUAGGAAGACCGCCUGAACUUAA